UGACCGUUCCAUUUUCGGAACCAAGGCCAUACGGACAGCCGGGUCAACUGCCGA
rnacentral:sRNA from 1 species